GACGAACGCUGGCGGCGUGCCUAAUACAUGCAAGUCGAGCGGACGAAUCGAACGCUUGCUUUUGAUUCGUUAGCGACGGACGGGUGAGUAACACGUAGGCAACCUGCCCCGUAGACGUGGAUAACACCGAGAAAUCGGAACUACUACCGGAUAACACGCACUGUCGCAUGACAUUUCCUUGAAAGACGGCGCAAGCUAUCGCUACACGAUGGGCCGGCUACACAUUAGCUAGAUGGCGAGGUAACGGCACACCAAGGCGACGAUGCGUAGCCGACCUGAGAGGGUGAGCGGCCACACUGGGACUGAGACACGGCCCAGACUCCUACGGGAGGCAGCAGUAGGGAAUCUUCCGCAAUGGACGAAAGUCUGACGGGGCAACGCCGCGUGGGGGAAGAAGGCCUUCGGGUCGUAAAGCUCUGUUGUUAGGGAAGAACAAGUAACGCAGUAACUGGCGUUACCGUGACGGUACCUAACGAGAAAGCCACGGCUAACUACGUG
rnacentral:rRNA from 1 species